GCCCCGAUAGCUUAGCAGGUAGAGCGUGCGGCUGUUAACCGCAAGGUCGCAAGUUCGAGUCUUGCUCGGGGCG
rnacentral:tRNA from 1 species